UCCUGCCAGUCUAAUAGGACCUCAU
rnacentral:piRNA from 1 species